rnacentral:lncRNA from 1 species
CAGCCAUGGCUCACACGUGACACAGGAGUGCCACAAAACUGGCUUCCAUGUGGGUGUCACAUGAUACAGGCUUUGGUCACGCAUGGCUCACACAUGGUUCAGGUGUGGCUCAUGCAUAUCUGUGGUGUUGCUCAGGCGUGGCUCAUAUGUGUUUGUGGCAUGGGUGGCACGUGGUUCAGGCAUGGCAGGCAAUUUGUGCCAGUGUGGCUGACACGUGCUUCGAGUGAGGCUGACCUUUGGUUCAAGUGUGACUAGCACUUGAUUCUGGCCUGGCUGGCACGUGACUUGGCGCGGCUGAGCCUUGAAACAGGCGUGGUUCACACGUUGUUCAGGCGUGGCUGACACAUCUCUCAGGUGAGCUGGAAACGUGACACAGGCGUGCCUGACACGUCACGCAUGUGGGGUUCACACAUGGUUCAUGCAUGGCCUUCGAGUGGUUCAGUGUUAGCUGGUGCAUGGUUCACGGAUGGGUGGCACUUGGUUCAGGCGUGGAUGAAAUGUGACUCCAGCAUGUGUGAAACAGGACUCCGGUGUGGCUGACACAUGUGUCAGGCAUGGCUGACACAUGACUCAGGCAUUCAUCGCCCAGUAUCCAUGUGUGACGGAAAUGUGAUCACGCAGGAGUCACAUGCGAUACAUGGGUGGCUCCCACGUGACUGCAGGUUGCUGAAACCUGGCCCCCACAUACUCAGUCAUGGCUGCCACGUGGCUCACGCAUGCCCUAGCUGUGUCUCAUGUGUGAGUCCCCUGUGGUUCAUGUGUGGUUCAACCACCGAACAUGUGUGUUUCACUGGUUCUUCAGAUGUGGUUCAAGGGUGUCUCCCAUGUGGUUGCGGCAUGGCUCACACAUGGUUCGUGUGUAAUACAGGCGUGCAUCUCACACGACUCAUCUGGGUCACAUAUGGUUGAGGACAGUCUCACACGUGGUUCAGGCAUAGCUCAGCCGUGGCUCACACGUGAUGCAGGUGUGCCACACAACUGGCUCACAUGUGGCUGAUACGUGAUUCAGGCUUUUGUCACGCAUUGCUCACACAUGGCUCAGUUGUGGCUCAUGCAUGGCUGUGGUGUUGCUCAGUCGUGGCUGACAUGUUUUGCGGCACGGUUGGCACGUGUCUCAGGCAUGGCAGGCAAGUUGUGCCAGUGUGGCUGUCACAUGCUUCAAGUGAGGCUGACCUGCGGUUCAAGUGUGACUGGCACUUGGUUCAGGCCUGGCUGGCACGUGACUUGGUGCGGCUGAGCCUUGACACAGGCCUGGUUCACACAUUGUUCAGGCGUGGCUGACACAUGACUCAGGUGAGGUGGAAAUGUGACACAGGCAUGCCUGACAGGUCACGCAGGUGUGGUUCACACAUGGUUCAUGCAUGGCCUUCGUGUGGUUCAGGGGUGGCUGGUGCAUGGUGCACACAUGGGUGGCAGGUGGUUCAGGUGUGGCUGACAUGUGACUCAGGCAUAUGUGAAACAUGACUCCCGUGUGGCUGGCACAUGUCUCAGGCAUGGCUGACACGUUACUCAGGCAUUCAUCGCACAGUAUCCAUGCAUGGCAGACAUGUGGCCACGCGUGUGUGACAUUCAGUACAGGUGUUUGUCCCGCAUGACUCACAGGUUGCUGAAACCUGGCUCCCACAUACUCAGUCAUGGCUGGCACGUGGCUCACGCCUGGCUCAGCUGUGUUUCAUGUGUGGCUCCCCUGUUCUUCAUGUUUGUUCCAAGCAUCGAACAUGUGUGUUUCACACAUGGUUCAGAUGUGGUUCAAGCGUGUCUCACAGGUGGUUCAUGCAUGGCUCAUACAUGGUUCGGGUGUAAUGCCAGCGUUGCUCACACACGACUCGUGUGGGUCCUCGAGACACAGGCAUGCCUGACACGUCACACAGGUGCGAUUCACACAGGGUUCAUGCAUGGCCUCUGUGUGGGUCAGGGGUGGCUGGUGCAUGGUUCACACAUGGGUGGCUCGUGGUUCAGGCGUGGCUGACAUGUGACACAGGCAUGUGUGAAACCUGACUCCGGUGUGCCUGGCGCAUGACUCAGGCAUGGCUGACACAUGACUCAUGCAUUCAUCUCACAGUUUCCGUGUAUGGCAGACAUGUG